rnacentral:rRNA from 1 species
UACGUAGGGGGCAAGCGUUGUCCGGAUUUAUUGGGCGUAAAGAGCGUGUAGGCGGUUUGGUAGGUCCGCUGUGAAAACUCGAGGCUCAACCUCGAGACGCCGGUGGAAACCAUCAGGCUAGAGUCCGGAAGAGGAGAGUGGAAUUCCUGGUGUAGCGGUGAAAUGCGCAGAUAUCAGGAGGAACACCCGUGGCUAAGGCGGCUCUCUAGUACGGUACUGACGCUGAGACGCGAAAGCGUGGGGAGCGAACAGG